GUCCCUGUAGUGCAAUAGAUAGCGCGUUGAACUUCUGUUCCAAAGGUCGUAGAUUUGAUUUCCACCUGGGAUG